rnacentral:lncRNA from 1 species
AUUAAACAAUGACUUAACAAUACUUGUCUGUCAUCGUGAAUCGCCAUUUUGUCAUCUGCAUUUUUUGUACCUCAUACUUAUUAACAUCAACGUUGCAACUUAUUGAGUAGAAUGACAUGACGGUGUUUCGGUUUAAUUAAACCACGAAAGGAUUUCAAGGUUUAAUUAAACUGAAACACUGUCAAGUCAUUCUACUCAAUUUAAGGUUUGUUGAUGUUAAUACGAAUUCAUCAAAUAGACGCCAUGAGGUUAGUAUAUUAGACUCAUAAUAAUUAAUAAUUUUAAAUGGUAGAAUAAUAUUUGUGUAAUCAUUUAUCUGGAAUAAUGUUUGAAUAUUAUUUAUUUAACAGUCAAUUAAAAUCAAUCACUGUCGUGUCAUUUCUACUCAAUUAAAAUUUUGUUCAAGUCUUUACGAAUUCAUCGCCAUUUGUCAUCUGGACUUUUUCUACUUCAACGGUUAAAUUGCAAAUUUUGUAUUGAGUAAAAAGUUUAAUUAAACCACGAAAGGAUUUCAAUGUUUAAUUAAACUGAAACACUGUCAAGUCAUUCUACUCAAUUUAAGGUUUGUUGAUGUUAAUACGAAUUCAUCAAAUAGACGCCAUGAGGUUAGUAUAUUAGACUCAUAAUAAUUAAUAAUUUUAAAUGGUAGAAUAAUAUUUGUGUAAUCAUAUAUCUUGAAUAAUGUUUGAAUAUUAUUUAUUUAACAGUCAAUUAAAAUCAAUCACUGUCGUGUCAUUUCUACUCAAUUAAAAUUUUGUUCAAGUCUUUACGAAUUCAUCGCCAUUUGUCAUCUGGACUUUUUCUACUUCAACAUUUAAAUUGCAAAUUUUGUAUUGAGUAAAAUGCCAUGACAGGGAUUCGGUUUAAAGAAACCUAAAUAAGUUUUCUCGGUAACUUUAAACCGAACCACUGUCAAGACCUUUUCUAUUCAAUUUGAAGUUUGUUGAAGUAGAUAGGAAUUCAUCAAAUAGACGCCAUUUCGUAAGUAUAUUAGACUCAUAAUUAAUCAUUUUCAAUGGAAGAGUAAUAUUAUUUAUUCAACAGUCAAUAAAACUCAAUCACUGUCAAGUCUUCUCUACUCAAUUUAAAUUUUGUUGAAGUCAAUACAAAUUCAUUGUCAUUUGUCAUCUGGACUUUUUCUACUUCAACGGUUAAAUUGCAAAUUUUGUAUUGAGUAAAAAGUUUAAUUAAACCACGAAAGGAUUUCAAUGUUUAAUUAAACUGAAACACUGUCAAGUCAUUUCUACUCAAUUUAAGGUUUGUUGAUGUUAAUACGAAUUCAUCAAAUAGACGCCAUGAGGU